GCGCGAAAACUUUGCAAUGCGGGAAACCGUGACAAGGGAACUCUGAGUGCCCGUAAAAUCGGGCUGUCCAUCGGUUUAAAUAACCGGUGAAGAAAGGGCCGGGCAAGACCGGUGCCAGCCGCCGCGGUAAUACCGGCGGCUCGAGUGGUGGCCACUAUUACUGGGCUUAAAGCGUUCGUAGCUGGUUUGUUAAGUCUCUGGGGAAAUCUUCCGGCUUAACCGGAAGGCGUCUCAGGGAUACUGGCAGACUAGGGACCGGGAGAGGUGAGAGGUACUCCAGGGGUAGGAGUGAAAUCCUGUAAUCCUUGGGGGACCACCUGUGGCGAAGGCGUCUCACCAGAACGGCUCCGACAGUGAGGGACGAAAGCUGGGGGAGCAAACCGGAUUAGAUACCCGGGUAGUCCCAGCCGUAAACGAUGUGCGUUAGGUGUAUCGGUGACCACGAGUCACCGAGGUGCCGAAGAGAAAUCGUGAAACGUACCGCCUGGGAAGUACGGUCGCAAGGCUGAAACUUAAAGGAAUUGGCGGGGGA
rnacentral:rRNA from 1 species